rnacentral:rRNA from 1 species
CUGGGGGGGGGUGCUAUACAUGCAAGUCGAGCGAACAGAUAAGGAGCUUGCUCCUUUGACGUUAGCGGCGGACGGGUGAGUAACACGUGGAUAACCUACCUAUAAGACUGGGAUAACUUCGGGAAACCGGAGCUAAUACCGGAUAACAUAUUGAACCGCAUGGUUCAAUAGUGAAAGGCGGCUUUGCUGUCACUUAUAGAUGGAUCCGCGCCGUAUUAGCUAGUUGGUAAGGUAACGGCUUACCAAGGCAACGAUACGUAGCCGACCUGAGAGGGUGAUCGGCCACACUGGAACUGAGACACGGUCCAGACUCCUACGGGAGGCAGCAGUAGGGAAUCUUCCGCAAUGGGCGAAAGCCUGACGGAGCAACGCCGCGUGAGUGAUGAAGGUCUUCGGAUCGUAAAACUCUGUUAUCAGGGAAGAACAAAUGUGUAAGUAACUGUGCACAUCUUGACGGUACCUGAUCAGAAAGCCACGGCUAACUACGUGCCAGCAGCCGCGGUAAUACGUAGGUGGCAAGCGUUAUCCGGAAUUAUUGGGCGUAAAGCGCGCGUAGGCGGUUUUUUAAGUCUGAUGUGAAAGCCCACGGCUCAACCGUGGAGGGUCAUUGGAAACUGGAAAACUUGAGUGCAGAAGAGGAAAGUGGAAUUCCAUGUGUAGCGGUGAAAUGCGCAGAGAUAUGGAGGAACACCAGUGGCGAAGGCGACUUUCUGGUCUGUAACUGACGCUGAUGUGCGAAAGCGUGGGGAUCAAACAGGAUUAGAUACCCUGGUAGUCCACGCCGUAAACGAUGAGUGCUAAGUGUUAGGGGGUUUCCGCCCCUUAGUGCUGCAGCUAACGCAUUAAGCACUCCGCCUGGGGAGUACGACCGCAAGGUUGAAACUCAAAGGAAUUGACGGGGACCCGCACAAGCGGUGGAGCAUGUGGUUUAAUUCGAAGCAACGCGAAGAACCUUACCAAAUCUUGACAUCCUUUGACCGCUCUGAGAUAGAGUCUUCCCCUUCGGGGGACAAAGUGACAGUGGUGCAUGGCUUGUCGUAUGCUCUUGUCGUGAGAUUGUUGGGAUUAUGUCUCCACACGACCCCCAC